GAUGAACGCUGACAGAAUGCUUAACACAUGCAAGUCUACUUGAAUUUGGGUCCUAGACUUAGAUUUGGGUGGCGGACGGGUGAGUAACGCGUAAAGAACUUGCCUCACAGUUAGGGACAACAUUUGGAAACGAAUGCUAAUACCUGAUAUUAUGAUUAUACGGCAUCGUAUAAUUAUGAAAGCUAUAUGCGCUGUGAGAGAGCUUUGCGUCCCAUUAGCUAGUUGGAGAGGUAACGGCUCACCAAGGCGAUGAUGGGUAGCCGGCCUGAGAGGGUGAACGGCCACAAGGGGACUGAGACACGGCCCUUACUCCUACGGGAGGCAGCAGUGGGGAAUAUUGGACAAUGGACCAAAAGUCUGAUCCAGCAAUUCUGUGUGCACGAUGACGUUUUUCGGAAUGUAAAGUGCUUUCAGU
rnacentral:rRNA from 1 species